rnacentral:misc_RNA from 1 species
GAUGAAGAACGCAGCGAAAUGCGAUAAUUAAUGUGAAUUGCAGAAUUCCGUGAAUCAUCGAGUCUUUGAACGCACAUUGCGCCUCAUGGCAGUCCGUGAGGCAUGCCCAUCUCAGCGUUAGAAAAUAUUCUCAAAUUUUAGUUUUGUGCUAAAAUUUGGAUCAUGUCAAAGAAGCUAUUACUAUUAUUGUGAUCGCUCUUUGGAAAUUGAUAGGUCUUUGAGUUGCUACUCAUAGAACGUGAUGAAUCUUUCUUCGUUCUAUUGUAAUCCACUCUGGUAGUCCUAAAACUUGUAUGCCUGUGGCAUAUCUUGUAAUUUGACCUGAGAUUGGGUAGGGAUACCCGCUGAACUUAAGCAUAUCAAUAAGCGGAGGA